UACUCUCGUUUUCUCCUGCAAAUUUACAGUAUGGGCAUCCUUUUUUUAACAUCUUUCGUCAAAGAAGUGGAUUCAAAGCACAUUGUGACCUCAGUAUAUUGAUGUGAAACCAUGCAGAAAAUGCUACUUUCUCUCAACCUUGUGGAUGUUCCCUACUUCCCUAAGGAUCAGCAGCCUCUUGAAACAGUUGAAGCCAUUAUCGAAUUCCUUGGAUCUGAAAGCAGUGCAUAAU